rnacentral:rRNA from 1 species
GCUCAGGAUGAACGCUGGCGGCGUGCUUAACACACGUAAGUCGAACGAAGCACUUUAUUUGAUUUCCUUCGGGACUGAUUAUUUUGUGACUGAGUGGCGGACGGGUGAGUAACGCGUGGGUAACCUGCCUUGUACAGGGGGAUAACAGUUGGAAACGGCUGCUAAUACCGCAUAAGCGCACGGCAUCGCAUGAUGCAGUGUGAAAAACUCCGGUGGUAUAAGAUGGACCCGCGUUGGAUUAGCUAGUUGGUGAGGUAACGGCCCACCAAGGCGACGAUCCAUAGCCGACCUGAGAGGGUGACCGGCCACAUUGGGACUGAGACACGGCCCAAACUCCUACGGGAGGCAGCAGUGGGGAAUAUUGCACAAUGGGCGAAAGCCUGAUGCAGCGACGCCGCGUGAGCGAAGAAGUAUUUCGGUAUGUAAAGCUCUAUCAGCAGGGAAGAUAAUGACGGUACCUGACUAAGAAGCACCGGCUAAAUACGUGCCAGCAGCCGCGGUAAUACGUAUGGUGCAAGCGUUAUCCGGAUUUACUGGGUGUAAGGGAGCGCAGGCGGUGCGGCAAGUCUGAUGUGAAAGCCCGGGGCUCAACCCCGGUACUGCAUUGGAAACUGUCGUACUAGAGUGUCGGAGGGGUAAGCAGAAUUCCUAGUGUAGCGGUGAAAUGCGUAGAGAUGGGGAGGAACACCAGUGGCGAAGGCGGCCUGCUGGGCUUUAACUGACGCUGAGGCACGAAAGCGUGGGUAGCAAACAGGAUUAGAUACCCUGGUAGUCCACGCUGUAAACGAUGAUUACUAGGUGUGGGGGGUCUGACCCCUUCCGUGCCGGAGUUAACACAAUAAGUAAUCCACCUGGGGAGUACGGCCGCAAGGUUGAAACUCAAAGGAAUUGACGGGGGCCCGCACAAGCAGUGGAGUAUGUGGUUUAAUUCGAAGCAACGCGAAGAACCUUACCAGGUCUUGACAUCCAACUAACGAAGUAGAGAUACAUUAGGUGCCCUUCGGGGAAAGUUGAGACAGGUGGUGCAUGGUUGUCGUCAGCUCGUGUCGUGAGAUGUUGGGUUAAGUCCCGCAACGAGCGCAACCCUUGCUAUUAGUUGCUACGCAAGAGCACUCUAAUAGGACUGCCGUUGACAAAACGGAGGAAGGUGGGGACGACGUCAAAUCAUCAUGCCCCUUAUGACCUGGGCUACACACGUACUACAAUGGAUGUUAACAGAGGGAAGCAAGACAGCGAUAUGGAGCAAACCCCUAAAAACAUUCUCAGUUCAGAUUGCAGGCUGCAACACGCCUGCAUGAAGAUGGAAUUGAAAGUAAUCGCGGAUCAGCAUGCCGCG